GGAAUUCGAUUAGAGUUUGAUCCUGGCUCAGCUUGAACGCUGGCGGCAUGCCUUACACAUGCAAGUCGGACGGCAGCGCGGGCUUCGGCCUGGCGGCGAGUGGCGAACGGGUGAGUAAUACAUCGGAACNNNNNNNNNNGUGGGGGAUAGCCCGGCGAAAGCCGGAUUAAUACCGCAUACGAUCUGUGGAUGAAAGCGGGGGAUCGCNNNNNCUCGCGCUAUUGGGGUGGCCGAUGGCGGAUUAGCUAGUUGGUGGGGUAAAGGCCUACCAAGGCGACGAUCCGUAGCUGGUCUGAGAGGACGACCAGCCACACUGGGACUGAGACACGGCCCAGACUCCUACGGGAGGCAGCAGUGGGGAAUUUUGGACAAUGGGCGCAAGCCUGAUCCAGCAAUGCCGCGUGUGUGAAGAAGGCCUUCGGGUUGUAAAGCACUUUUGUCCGGAAAGAAAUCCUUUUCGAUAAUACCGAAGGGGGAUGACGGUACCGGAAGAAUAAGCACCGGCUAACUACGUGCCAGCAGCCGCGGUAAUACGUAGGGUGCGAGCGUUAAUCGGAAUUACUGGGCGUAAAGCGUGCGCAGGCGGUGAUGCAAGACCGAUGUGAAAUCCCCGGGCUUAACCUGGGAACUGCAUUGGUGACUGCAUCGCUAGAGUAUGGCAGAGGGGGGUAGAAUUCCACGUGUAGCAGUGAAAUGCGUAGAGAUGUGGAGGAAUACCGAUGGCGAAGGCAGCCCCCUGGGUCAAUACUGACGCUCAUGC
rnacentral:rRNA from 1 species